rnacentral:lncRNA from 1 species
GUACAUAAAUUGAAAGGUGGUAUACUUAAAUAUAAUAAACACAAACCUUAAACAUGGAUGGUUAUAAGAUUUGCUAUAUGGAAUGUAUAUGUAAAAAUCCCAAACUUCAAUGCAAUUCCUAGCACCAAAUUCCCUUAAGCCUUAGUUUCAGACCCACAAGAACAGGCUCAUUCCGUCCAAUUAAUCCAAUCAGCGCAAAAGGAUUAUUUUCUUAAAAACCCCAAUCCCAAAAUUAGCCUAGGGUUAUCUUUUCUCUUUUCAAAACAAAUGCUCCUCCCCUUCUUCUUCCUUUUUCCUCUUCCAUGUUAAAAAUUCAGUACCUUUCAACUUUGGACAGAAGAAGUACACAUCAUUCUCGCACAAAGUUCGUCCUUACCUUGAGCCAAUGUCUCUUUGCACCAGACUUUGGCGCAAUUUUUGCUGUAACCUUACUGUAAACCUGAACCUUUCUUUUGUCCGAUUACAAAUUCAAAAUCAAAUUCAAAUGGAUAGUUUGAUUCCGCUCAAUGGUCCCCUAGCCCUAAACAUCAUCCCUAUAAGUACAUGUUGUUGGCAUCUAUUCUGGCUCAUGGUUUUGAGCCGCAUCUUUACCCCCUAAAAAUCCUAAAGCUCUGAGUCACCCCUCUAAGUUUAAGCUUCACCUGCACCUUUACCCCUAAAAAUCCUAAAGCUCUAAACCACCCCUCUAUCCCCUCCAAGUUUAAGCUUAAACCCCCUCCUUUAACCCAGAGGCCGCGUUCGAAGUUUUUGUUGGAUCUAGACCUCAGCCCUGGUUAACUGCCCAACAAGAGUUUCACUUUUUGAGACUCCAUGCUGCUGCUAGGCCCGAUAUCAGAUUUCUCUUCAUCCAUUUCUCUUGCUUUCCUGAAACACAGCCGAACUAAAAAGUCAAGGAAUGCCGGGAGGGAAUAACAGAUGUUCCCCUUCAUUUCUUGUUGAUAGCCUUGCUUAUUUAAGAUAUUUCUGCUCUGGAGUUACUAAUACUCUUUUAUUUUGGUUUUUGUUUUUAUUUUUCUUCACUGAGCCGAGGGCCGAUUGGAAACAGGCUCUCCCCAGACCUCACUUUGUGGGACUAUACUGAUAUUAGUUGUUGUUGUAGCAGCCUUGCCUUAUACCUUAUGUGUUUUGAGUAUUAACCUGUUAUUUAUAAUUAUUUGUUUAUCGUGUGUGGGGAUUUAACGUAACUUUUCUUAUGAUACUUAAUUAGAUUGGGUUGCUUAGAGGUCAUUACUUUCUAGAACAGAGAUGGCGAAGUUAUUAUUUAGAGGGCUCAGAUCUAAACCUUCCUUUUGAAUUUAGUCUAUCUCUUUUACUGUAUUUUGAUUUCUUAAAGUUUUUAACGCAAACAUAUUGCCUAAGUGUCCAAGUGGAUUUUCAACCCCAAGUGAAACCUUAUCACGUAUAUGUACAUUAUUUGAAUGGUGAACAUGCCAAUUAUGUGGACCAUUUAAUUUGAAUUAAUUAAAUCCUAAUUAAAGGAGCAUGACUAACUUUUUAU